GCUCCUCUGAAGUGAUGUUUCUUUUUUGGUGUUUUGUUCAGUCAUGUUGACCAUGUGAUGAAUAAUUUCAUUUUUGAUUAAAGAAAACUUGCUUGAGUGGCGUGCUUUCAGUGGGAUUUGUAAGUUGACUGGAACCCGGUGCAUCGUCAGUUCGGUCUUGGUUUCGUCGCCGUCGGUUUUAUCUCGUCAUCAUCGCCGUCGCGUUUGAACAACGGAGUGUGGAACCGUCGAUACGAUUCGAGCGUAUUCCCACUUUUUCAGAAACGAAGCAACUACAAUCUUAAAGCAGCAGCGGGUUACCCACGACUGCACGAGCUUACAAAAAUAUAUCCCUGGAGAUAACCAACUCGAUCGAUAAAGGAGGCCAGCUACACCAUGUAGAACAUGCAGAUCCAUCGAUAGGCAUAAAGAACACGAAGCAGUACCAAAUCAUUGCCGAUGGAAAAAAGCGGAACACGAACCGGAAUUAAAAUAUGAUGAACAAGAAAUCGAUUUGGAUUUCAGUGCCACUUCACAGCGGAAACCAAGAAGGGCUCGUAACCUUGAAUGCAUGACGGAAAUCGUUCGUCAACUGGCUGUUUGCAAAGUACAGCAACAUGUCACCGACGAAUAUCAAACUUGUAUGAAGAAAUGCUGCUGCUUUCCAAACCGCUAAACCAGGGAAUUGGUUUAUAGACAUCGACUAUAUGGAGUUUUAGGUUUAACCACAUAAUAAGAAGUGCCAUCUGGUGACAGGGUCUAAUACUGUCCAUACGGCCGUCUAAGAGGAUCAAGCCGCAAUCAAGAACCGUCUAAUACCACUUUUCAAGAGCGUAUUCUACGGACGAGACUAUAUGUUGGAUAUCUACGACAUAAACCGAAAUAACACUUGCCGGUAGGUGGUCGUAAAAGUUGCAUCUUCAUUCUACAAAAGGAAGUAUUGGGAACUACAUCCUCGACUGCACAAUAAGGAACUUUGAAAUGUUACUGACCUUGGGAAAUAACCGUAUCUACCGCACAUAUUCCUUGACGAAGGUGCCGCAUAUCUAUAGACAACUGGAUUCGAACAACGGUUUAAACGAUGCGAGAAAUAUGUUUUUCGAAUUAGCGUUAGAGCUGCUGAACUACGAGCCAAAGACCAAAGUAGCUAGCCCGGGAAUUAGAAGAUUCGGGUUCGAGUCCUUCACAAUUGGGUUCGAGCUUCUUUCACAUCAUAGAUUGAAACCGCUAACUAAAUGUGGUAUGUAAUGUUUCUUUUUUUUUCUAUGGCUGCUAAUCAACUUCAAGUAUUCUAUUAGCAUUUCCUCAAUUAGGGAAAAGUGGGGCACAAUCACCACCCUACACUUUGGUUCUUGUGGUAUAAUAUAAAUCCUCCGCAUCCUGCAGAUUUGUCUCUUUAGUCAUCUCUAUAUUGUGUCUUGCCUAUAAUAUAAGCAUGAAACAUAUUGAUUAUUACAGUUUAAGGAUCGUAUUAAUUGGUUUUGGAAAAUAUGUUUUUUCGAUGCGUUUAUUUACUGUAUGGGGCGAAACUCGACACCACCUCGGGGAAAGACGAGCAACGUCCAUAAAAUAUUUUCGAAAAUGUUUUGAACUUAAUAAAACAUUAGGUCAUUAUUUUUGCAUUAGGUAUUAUUUUUUUACUUGAAAAGAUUAUGCAUAAAUGAUGUUACUUUGUCGCUUUAGAUUUGCCUGAAAUUAAUUAUAAUGGUGAAACUCAUUUACGAUGCAAUACCACCCCAUGCUGAUAGCUUUUUUAAGUUUUCUUUCAUCGAUUAUAUUGAAUUUAAACUAAUUGUUUUUUUAGUGUGGGUAGACUAUUAGGCACAUCAGUGGCGUAGCCACGGGGGUGGUUUUGGGUGUAACCCCCCCCCCCAGAGACAACAUUCUCGGGAGAUUUUUUUUUUUCGAAAAAAAAUGUUAAGAAAACCCCCCCAGACCAAUUUUCUGGCUACGCCACUGAGCACAUAUUAUAAGCAUUCGAGGAUAUCGAUUUUUUUAAUAAAACUAUUUCAAAAAAAAAAA